ensembl:lncRNA
AUGCAUGAUUUUCCUAUCAAAAACAAAGACUUUCACAAGGGUUCAAGAACAAACAUCAGAUUCAUGUUCUCUCCAAGAAUAUUCUCUCUUCAAAACAUCAGACUCAAAUCUAUUGGUAUAUCAUACUCAUAUCAGAAUGAUAGAAGACAGAUAAAGAAGAAUAUAUGGGGUCACAUGACUGAGCAGCUGACCAUAUAUGCAUAUAUGAAGCUGCUGCUGCUGCUGCUAAGUCGCUUCAGUCGUGUCCGACUCUGUGCGACCCCCAUAGAUGGCAGCCUACUAGGCUCCUCUGUCCCUGGGAUUCUUCAGGCAAGAACACUGGAGUGGGUUGCCAUUUCCUUCUCCAAUGCAUGAAAGUGAAAAGUGAAAGUGCAGUUGCUCAGUCCUGCCCGACUCUUAGCAACCUCAUGGACUGCAGCCUACCAGGUUCCUCCGUCCGUGGGAUUUGCCAGGCAAGAGUACUGGAGCAGGUGCCAUUGCCUUCUCCUAUAUGAAGCUAUUGAUAGCUAAAAAAGCAACAACAAAUAACAGCCCGAUCACACUUGAAUCUCUCUAAAUAGAAUCUCCAUAGUAGCUAUGGUGCUAAGCUUAGCCUCAACCUGACUCUGCCUCUCCAUCCUGCAAAGGGAAGAAUCUGUUGGUUUCAGAGUUAAAGAAGGAAUCAAGCAAUAUACUCCAGGGGUCCUUUUGUUAGGGAAGUGAAGUUGCUCAGUAGUAUCCGACUCUUUGUGACCCCAUGGACUGUAGCCCACUGGGCUCCUCCAUCCAUGGAAUUUUCUAGGCAAGAGUACUGGAGUGGGUUGCCAUUUCCUUCUCCAGAGGAUCUUUCUGACCCAGGGAUCGAAUCUGGGUCUCCCUCACUGCAGGCAGAUGCUUUACCAUCUGAGCCACCAGAGAAUCCAUUGGCCAAAAAUCUCCAUAAGACUUCCUUCUAAGUGUUAUUUAAUAGUUUAAGUAUUUCUUCUUCAAAAACAAUCCCUCCCUCCCUCUCUCUCUCACUCUCAUAUGAGGUUUUGUUUCACCAUAAGUUUAUUUCCCAGAGAGUUAUGAAUUAUUUAUAUUUUUAAAAACUUAACUGCAUACUUUUGUGAAAAGGACUCUGACUGCCUUUGCACGACAUUAACAAAACCCCCCCAAAGUUAUGACCACCUUUCAUAAAAAUGAAAAUGCAGGACCUUUUGUUCCGAAAUUAUUAAGAAUUUGAAGAUGGUGAAGUGGAGCAUUAAACCAAGCCCUGGGCCCCUCCACAUGCAGAUUCUGUGAGAUAGCCCAGGUCUUGUACACCCUUAUUGUGUGUGUGCUCAGUCAUGUUUAAUUCUUUGCAACCCCUUGGACUGUGGCCCACCAGACUCCUCUGUCUAUGGGAUUCUCCAGUCAAGAAUACUGGAGCAGAUUGCCAUUUCCUACUCUGGGGAUUUUCCCUACCCAGGGAUCAAAUCUGUGUCUCUUGUGUCUCCUGCAUUGGCAAGUGGAUUCUUUACCAGUGGGCCAUCUGGGAAGCCCUUGAUAGCUCAGGUCACGUAUCCAUGAAACCAUGCAGUAGACAAGUGUCAAAUUAGACAAACAAUUAACUUUUAAUCAAUUCACCUUAAAAUAUAUCUGCACAAAAAUAAACUGAACUAGUUCUGUUAAAAUGGCGAGUGU